rnacentral:rRNA from 1 species
GUACACUCCUGCGGGAGGCAGCAGUGGGGAAUUUUGGACAAUGGGCGAAAGCCUGAUCCAGCAAUGCCGCGUGAGUGAAGAAGGCCUUCGGGUUGUAAAGCUCUUUUGUCAGGGAAGAAACGGUGAGAGCUAAUAUCUCUUGCUAAUGACGGUACCUGAAGAAUAAGCACCGGCUAACUACGUGCCAGCAGCCGCGGUAAUACGUAGGGUGCAAGCGUUAAUCGGAAUUACUGGGCGUAAAGCGUGCGCAGGCGGUUUUGUAAGUCUGAUGUGAAAUCCCCGGGCUCAACCUGGGAAUUGCAUUGGAGACUGCAAGGCUAGAAUCUGGCAGAGGGGGGUAGAAUUCCACGUGUAGCAGUGAAAUGCGUAGAUAUGUGGAGGAACACCGAUGGCGAAGGCAGCCCCCUGGGUCAAGAUUGACGCUCAUGCACGAAAGCGUGGGGAGCAAACAGGAUUAGAAACCCUUGUAGUCCCAG